UACAGAGGGUGCAAGCGUUUAAUCGGAAUUACUGGGCGUAAAGCGUGCGUAGUCGGUUAUCUAAGUCGGGUGUGAAAUCCCCGGGCUCAACCUGGGAAUUGCAUUCGAUACUGGAUAGCUAGAGUUCGGCAGAGGGAACGGAAUUUCCGGUGUAGCGGUGAAAUGCGUAGAUAUCGGAAGGAACAUAGUGGCGAAAGCGGCUUCCUGGACCCUUUCUGAC
rnacentral:rRNA from 1 species